rnacentral:rRNA from 1 species
AGCAGUAGCCGCGGGAAUACGGAGGGUGCAAGCGUUAAUCGGAAUUACUGGGCGUAAAGCGCACGCAGGCGGUCUGACAAGUCAGAUGUGAAAUCCCCGGGCUUAACCUGGGAACUGCAUUUGAAACUGUCAGGCUGGAGUCUUGUAGAGGGGGGUAGAAUUCCAGGUGUAGCGGUGAAAUGCGUAGAGAUCUGGAGGAAUACCGGUGGCGAAGGCGGCCCCCUGGACAAAGACUGACGCUCAGGUGCGAAAGCGUGGGGAGCAAACAGGAUUAGAUACCCGUGUAGUCCCUGUCUCUUAUAC